rnacentral:misc_RNA from 1 species
AAGGCAUUGAGAAUGGGUGGAAGGCCAGAGUUGCUUGUUUGAUCGAUAGUGAAGUAAAUAUCUUUUUGAGUAUUCAGAAUUAUAGUCUGUGGCUUCAAGUAUUCCAGGCUAAUUGGUUCAGAAUUGACAUCAUUCAAAGUAACUGUAAAUACUCUUCGUUGAUCAUGAGGAGUCUCUACAAUUUCAGCAAAAUGAAAGUAGACAUAAAAAUUACAUGAUUGGACACAACUAAAGCUAUCGCUGUAUGCCAAUGAGUCAAGGUCAUUUUUGGGCUGGGCCGUAGUCCUUAACACUUCAAUGGGUAGUUUAUAGGAAUCAUUAAUUUCCUGGGGUUGUAUUUCUGGUGUGGCAUUGACCCAAAUCGAAUUAGUAAGCCUCAAAGUGUGCCAGAUGCGAUGAAAGACAUCAUCCUUGUACCUGAAAGUAAUGUUAGUAGGAUAGCCAGGUUGGAAUCUUCGAGUAACAUGUAGUGAUCCAAACUCACUUCUAUAAAUGGAAUCAUUCACAGAGUAUAAUUCCAAUGCUGAAAUGAAAGG